GNGUCUACUGUGCGCAAGUCGCAGGGAUCUUACGAAAACCCGAAGGCGCAAUGAAAGUGAAGGGCCUUCCCCGCGGUUGGCCUAGGUAGGAUCCCGAGUCGACUAACCGACGAGGGCGCACUACCGGCCCGUCUCAGCCGCAACGUCGGCGAGGCGGAGCGAGAGCGUACACGUUGGGACCCGAAAGAUGGUGAACUAUGCCUGAGUAGGACGAAGCCAGAGGAAACUCUGGUGGAGGUCCGCAGCGAUUCUGACGUGCAAAUCGAUCGUCAAACUUGGGUAUAGGGGCGAAAGACCAAUCGAAA
rnacentral:rRNA from 1 species